CCUACGGGAGGCAGCAGCGGGGAAUAUUGCACAAUGGGGGCAACCCUGAUGCAGCGACGCCGCGUGAGUGAAGAAGUAAUUCGUUACGUAAAGCUCUAUCAGCAGGGAAGAAAUACUGACCUUACGGUCAGCAGACGGUACCUGAGUAAGAAGCCCCGGCUAACUACGUGCCAGCAGCCGCGGUAAUACGUAGGGGGCAAGCGUUAUCCGGAUUUACUGGGUGUAAAGGGAGCGUAGACGGGGCGCCACGUCUGGAGUGAAAUGCCGCAGCUUAACUGCGGAACUGCUUUGGAAACUGGCGAACUAGAGUGCGGGAGGGGUAAGCGGAAUUCCUAGUGUAGCGGUGAAAUGCGUAGAUAUUAGGAGGAACACCGGUGGCGAAGGCGGCUUACUGGACCGUAACUGACGUUGAGGCGCGAAAGCGUGGGGAGCAAACAGGAUUAGAUACCCUUGUAGUC
rnacentral:rRNA from 1 species